rnacentral:rRNA from 1 species
GACGAACGCUGGCGGCGUGCCUAAUACAUGCAAGUCGAACGCAGUGGGGACGGGUGAGUAACACGUGGGUAACCUCCCAUCAGAGGGGAUAACACUUGGAAACAGGUGCUAAACCGAUACUGAUGGAUGGACCCGCGGUGCAUUGGCUAGUUGGGGAGGUAACGGCUCACCAAGUCCACGAUGCAUAGCCGACCUGAGAGGGGGAUCGGACACACUGGGACUGAGACACGGACCAGACUCCUGCGGGAGGGAGAAGUAAGGAAUCGUCGGCAGUGGACGAAAGUCGGACCGCGGAACGCCGCGUGAGUGGAGAUGGUUUUCGGAUCGUAAAACUCUGUUGUUAGAGAAGCGGGAUCUAACCAGAAAGCCACAGCUAACUACGUGCGAGCAGCCGCGUAGUAC